rnacentral:rRNA from 1 species
GACGUAGGGGGCCAGCGUUGCUCGGAAUUACUGGGCGUAAAGGGUUCGUAGGCGGUGCGGCAAGUCGGGAGUGAAAUCUCUGGGCUUAACUCAGGGGCUGCUUCCGAAGCUGCCGUGCUUGAGUGCGGGAGAGGCGAGUGGAAUUGCAGGUGUAGCGGUGAAAUGCGUAGAUAUCCGCAGGAACAUCCGAGGCGAAAGCGGCUCGCUGGAUCGCAACUGACGCUGAGGGACGAAAGCUAGGGGAGCAAACAGG